rnacentral:lncRNA from 1 species
AUGUGGGAAAACUCUGAUCCUUCACCAGGUGCUGUAAGUCCUCAAUGUUGGAAUAAAAGAUGAUCAACGAGUCUCUUCUUUGCAUUUUAGAGUUAGCAAAUUACACUAGAAUUGAAUAAACUUGUAAUCAAUCAUAAUAAUGGGUUUAUGGGGAAAGACUUUGAAUCUGAUAGAGUUGAUAAUGGGUUAGGCUUGGGUAUAGAAAAUGUUAAAUAUGAAAUAGGCCCAGCCCAAGCCCUACAUCCACUAUGUAGUUUAGACCCAAGACUGCCCAUGAUUAGCUCUAUAUCUAAACAUCUAUCAAGCUAAGGGGUGUUUGGUUGGAAGGAAUGGGAUUC